rnacentral:rRNA from 1 species
AGAGUUUGAUCCUGGCUCAGAAUCAACGCUGGCGGCGUGCCUAACACAUGCAAGUCGAGCGCGAAAGUAGGCUUCGGCCUACGAGUAGAGCGGCGAACGGGUGAGUAACGCGUGGGUGAUCUACCUUCGAGUGGGGAAUAACACCGGGAAACUGGUGCUAAUACCGCAUGACAUCUUCGGUUCGUUCCGAAGAUCAAAGCUGGGGACCGUAAGGCCUGGCGCUUGAAGAAGAGCCCGCGUCCGAUUAGGUAGUUGGCGGGGUAAUGGCCCACCAAGGCUUCUAUCGGUAGCCGGCCUGAGAGGGCUGACGGCCACACUGGGACUGAGACACGGCCCAAACUCCUACGGGAGGCAGCAGUGGGGAAUUUUUGUCGAUGGGGGAAACCCUGAACAAGCAACGCCGCGUGGAGGAUGAAGGCCCUCGGGUCGUAAACUCCUGUCGAUCGGGAAUAAUGCGCACGGACCAGUAUCUCCGGCGUGUUGACUGGACCGGUGGAGGAAGCCACGGUUAACUCUGUGCCAGCAACCGCGGUAAGACAGAGGUGGGAUGGGUUGUUCGGAAUUACUGUGCGUAAAGUGCGCGCAUGCGGUUCGUCAAGUCCCGUGUGAAAUCCUCCGGCUCAACUGGGGAAUUGCGCGGGGAAACUAACGAGCUUGAGUUCGGGAGAGGAGAGCGGAAGUUCCGGGUGUAGCGGGUGAAAUGCGCAGAUAUCCGGAGGAACACUAGUGGCGAAGGCGGCUUUCUGGACCGACACUGACGCUUAGCGCGAAAGCUAGGGGAGCGAACGGGAUUAUAUACCCCGGUAGUCCUAGCUCUAAUCGUUGAGCACUGGUGUAGGGGGUAUGAUCCCCCCCUGUGCCGAAGCUAACGCAUUAAGUGCUUCCGCCUGGGGAGUACGGUCGCAAGGCUGACACUCUAAAGGCUUGACGGGGGCCCGCACAAGCGGUCGAGCAUGUGGUUCAAUUCGACGCAACGCGAAGAACCUUGCCGGGUUCUGACCCGCCCGGGACCGCCCAGAGAUAGAGUUUCCUUCGGUGAUCCGUGUUGAGGUGAGCAUGGUGUGUCAGCUGUGUCGUGAGAUGGUG